GUGUUGGAGCAUCUUGCAGCACAUAUACUAAAAUUGGAAUGAUACAGAGAAGAUAAGCAUGGCCUUUCCAUAUGGUACUUGCAUUACAAGCACAGUUUU
rnacentral:snRNA from 1 species